CGGUAAUUCCAGCUCCAAUAGCGUAUACUAAAGUUGUUGCAGUUAAAAAGCUCGUAGUUGGAUUUCUGCGGGGACGGAGCGGCCGGACGCAACUUACGUCUCGAGCUAGCGCUCUCCCCACAUCCUGCCGCGAACCGUGCUACCAUUAGUUUGGUGGCGCUGGGGAUCGGCUCGAUUACUUUGAGAAAAAUAGAGUGUUCAAAGCAGGCCACACGCCUUGAAUAAGUUAGCAUGGAAUAAUGACUAAGGACUUUGGUUCUUUUCGUUGGUGUUCGGGACUGAAGUAAUGAUUGAUAGGGACAGUUGGGGCGGUCCGUAUUCCAAAGCGAGAGGUGAAAUUCUUAGACCUUCGGAAGACGAACAGCUGCGAAAGCGUUCCGCAAGGAUGUUCCCUUUGAUCAAGAACGAAAGUUGGGGGAUCGAAGACGAUCAGAUACCGUCGUAGUCUCAACUAUAAACUAUACCAGCUAGGGAUCGGCCAACGUUUAAUUAUUCGACUUGGUCGGCACCUUAUGAGAAAUCAAAGCAUCUGGGUUCCGGGGGGGGUAUGGUCGCAAGGCUGAAACUUAAAGGAAUUGACGGAAGGGCACCACCAGGCGUGGAGCCUGUGGCUUAAUUUGACUCAACACGGGAAAACUUACCAGGUCCAGACAUAGGAAGGAUUGACAGAUUGAUAGCUCUUUCUUGAUUCUGUGGGUGGUGGUGCAUGGCCGCUUUUAGUCGGUGAAGUGAUUUGUCUGCUUAAUUGCGUUAACGGACGAGACCCCAGCCUGCUAAAUAGCGCGGCCGAGCUUUGCUCGGUGCGAGCUUCUUAGAGGGACCAUGAUGCGCGAUAGCACAAGGAAGUUUGAGGCAACAACAGGUCUGUGAUGCCCUUAGAUGUUCUGGGCCGCACACGGGCUACACUGGCGCCUGCAACGAGCAUAUCAGCUGGCCCGAGAGGGUCUUGGCUAAUCCUUGGAACCGGCGCCGUGCUUGGGAUUGACCAUUGCAAUUGUUGGUCAUGCAACGAGGAAUGCCUUGUAAACGCGAGUCAUCAGCUCGCAUUGAAUACGUCCCUGCCCUUUGUACACACCGCCCGUCGCUCCUACCGAUGAAUGUUCCGAUGAAAUUUUCGGAGAGCGCCGGAGAACGGGGCUCUGCCCUGCAGAACUGGAGGCUCAAAGUCACUUAAAUCUGAACAUUUCGAGGAAGGAGAAGUCGUAACAAGGUAACC
rnacentral:rRNA from 1 species